rnacentral:rRNA from 1 species
UUUCUGUAGCAAUACAGGAAGUCGGCGCACGGCGCACGGGUGAGUAACACGUGGGCAAUCUGCCCUCGGAUGGGGGAUAACUCGCCGAAAGGCGAGCUAAUACCGCAUGACAUUCCGAAGACCUCGGUUUUCGGAUUCAAAGGUCGCAAGAUCGUCUGAGGAGGAGCCCGCGCCCGAUUAGCUAGUUGGUGAGGUAACGGCUCACCAAGGCUUUGAUCGGUAGCCGGUCUGAGAGGAUGGCCGGCCACACUGGAACUGAGACACGGUCCAGACUCCUACGGGAGGCAGCAGUGGGGAAUAUUGCGCAAUGGGCGAAAGCCUGACGCAGCGACGCCGCGUGGGGGAUGAAGCUUUUCGGAGUGUAAACCCCUUUCGACCCGGACGAAUGACCCGCAAGGGUUUGACGGUACGGGUAUAAGAAGCCCCGGCUAACUACGUGCCAGCAGCCGCGGUAAUACGUAGGGGGCCAGCGUUGCUCGGAAUUACUGGGCGUAAAGGGUUCGUAGGCGGUGCGGCAAGUCGGGAGUGAAAUCUCUGGGCUUAACUCAGAGGCUGCUUUCGAAACUGCCGUGCUCGAGUGCGAGAGAGGUCAGUGGAAUUGCAGGUGUAGCGGUGAAAUGCGUAGAUAUCUGCAGGAACACCCGUGGCGAAGGCGGCUGACUGGAUCGCAACUGACGCUGAGGAACGAAAGCUAGGGGAGCAAACAGGAUUAGAUACCCUGGUAGUCCUAGCCCUAAACCAUCAGGACUUGGGGUGGCCCGCGUAGGCGGGUCGUCCCGUAGCUAACGCGUUAAGUCCUGCGCCUGGGGAGUACGGUCGCAAGACUGAAACUC